GUUGCCCUGCAGAAAGUGAACAAAAGACUUCUCACACUAGGAACUUUUCAAGUUAUCUUUCUUUGAUGUGCUUUCAUUAUUUGGUUCAUUUCCAGGAUCAGUUCAGAGACUCAAAGGAAAAGGGUAUGCCGUAAAAACAGUAUAGCUCUUGGAAUGGGUGGUAGUCCGUUUAUGAAAAAGACCUCUGCGCCCAUGCUAGCUGAUGGCAAGAAUACCAGCAAGUAUGAGAUUAGAGCCGGUUACAGCCAAGCUGAAAGCUUGAGCAAUAUUAGUUAUAUAUACCUGAAAAUCCACCACCAUUAAAAGAAAAUCUAUCGGAGAGCCUUUUCCAAGCAAGUUGGGCAUGAUGUCUCAGUGCACUUCUCGCCGGAAUGACCGCGAAACUACUGGAAUAAUUUCUCUGGUAAAAACUGUUGGCGGUAUUGUACACUGAGAAUGGGGUAUUUCCUCUAGCAGGAAACGUAGUCCCUGUAGAAUCUAUGUUGGGGAAGACGGAGGCCAACUCGAACAAUUGUCCCAUACUUGUCCGCUUCAUAUUUCAAAAGGAAGAGCACCAACUAUAAACAAUUACGCCAAUUCCAGAGUAUCACCCAAAUUAUAGCGAUUGAAUCAUCAGAAAAUAAAAAAUCCGCCUAGGCGGGUCUAGGCGGUUUUUUUUUUCUUUUUCUUUCUGACUUUAAAGAAAACCCUCAGGCUGUCGCCUCCUUUACCCUACUCCAGCAGCCUCACCAUCCCCAGAACCUAGCAAUUUACUUUCACAUUCCCUCUCCUCCAUAACCACAAAGUGAGAGAGCCAAAUGGCUGUUCUUCAAGACCAGAAACAGAGGUCCUCUUGCCCACCAACAUCCAAGAGUAAUAGGGGAAGACCACCAAAGAACAAGGAAAAUCUGUUUAGGAAGAAUUCUUCAUCUCUCACUCAGUCACUGAUGACUAAAAGCAUUGUUAAUAAAAUCUGUUUAGGUUGUUUCUUUUAAAAUAUUUGAUAGGGUUUUGUGUUUUGAUUAGUUGAUUAGGAAUGAAAGUGCUAUUGCUUUAAUAUUUCAAUGUAAGUUUGUCUAAAAAACAAUUUUCAAACUUUUACACAAUGAACCUAUGGCCUAAGAAUUCUGAAUCCGCCACUGCUUAGACAUGUACCGUAGGCGCAAUACGAGUUGCACGCGUAUGUAAAAGCCUCUCUCUCUCUCUCUCUCUCUCUCUCUCU